AUGUGUGUAGGAGUGGUUUUACUGAAUCAGUGGAAACAAGGAUACACUUGAUUCAAUAAGACCUUAAA
rnacentral:sRNA from 10 species